UACGUAGGGUGCGAGCGUUAAUCGGAAUUACUGGGCGUAAAGCGUGCGCAGGCGGUUUGUUAAGACAGAUGUGAAAUCCCCGGGCUUAACCUGGGAACUGCAUUUGUGACUGGCAAGCUAGAGUAUGGCAGAGGGGGGGGUAGAAUUCCACGUGUGAGCAGUGAAAAUGCGUAGAGAGUGUGGAGGAAUACCCGAUGGCGAAGGCAGCCCCCUGGGCCCAAUACUG
rnacentral:rRNA from 1 species